CAUAUCACUGCACUCCAGCCUGGGCCACAGAGCGAGACCCUAUCAAAAGAAAAAAAUAGUGUUAAUACAUGAUUACAUGAUUAGAGAAACUAAAAGCCAAAUGGGAGAUAAUGCUACUUGCUAUUUUUGAAGCAUCUCCCAGUGUAUCUGGUUUUUAGUAUUUUCAGGCAUGCAUAUCUUUUUUUCAAAGCUUAAAAAAUUAAAAUCAAACUCUUGCUUUCUUCCUAAGCUUGGAAAUUACUCAUGUAUUAAUGAGUAGUUCUUGGCACCAGCAGCGUUUCUUAAACUGAAAAGACUGGUCAGACAUAGUUGACCUUUGCUACUGAAUAAUGCCUACCGUUGCAUUUAUUAUCAGUUAUCAUAUUUGUUGAUUUACCUCCAGUGUAGUUUGGUUUACCUCCAGUGUACAGAAUACAAUCUCAGUUUAAUUUGCACCAGUAAGGUGCAACCUGUCCUGAAACAGAAAGCUAUGGGAACAAAACCCUUUAAGAAGAUGGAAAAUAAAGGAAAGAAACUGCUCCAGAGAUGUAUUAGAGCUUUCUUUGAGUCCUCGGUGAACGCUUAAACACUUUAUGUCCAAACAUUUUCUUUUUAGUCUAUUCCCAUUUAUAGACACUGUGGUUAAUGAACUUGCAUAUUCUUAACUUUUGUUUAUAGGAACAAGGAAAAGUUUUGAUCACUUGAUAUCAGACACAAAGGCUCCUAAAAGGCAAGAAAUGGAAUCAGGGAUCACAACACCCCCCAAAAUGAGGAGAGUAGCAGAAACUGAUUAUGAAAUGGGUGAGAAACAAAGUAUUGAUCUAGAUCAUUGAAAAUAAGGUGGGAGAGUACAUGAAAGUCAUGUUUAUUUUCCAGCCAUUUCUUAGAAUCUUUAGAAUGAAAUAUAGAAACGUUUGCCAUUUCUCAAAAGAUAAACUCUACCAUUCAAGACAGUUAUCUUGAAGCUUGUGUAAAAAUUAAUCAUAUAUAUUAUAUACAGCAUUGUAAAUAGGUAGCCAAAACUUUUGUGUAGGCGAAUAGUAAUUCUCUAUGAUGUGUAUGUUAGUAUUUUAAGUAUCUACUAAAGAAAGCUGUUGAAUUUUAGAAGUAACAUUGAAAUAGUUAGGUGAAGUGAUUAUCCAGGUGUUUGAUCAUGUUAAUUCCCUAUCUUGCUGCAGAAACUCAGAGGAUUUCCUCAUCACAACAGCACCCACAUUUACGUAAAGUUUCAGUGUCUGAAUCAAAUGUUCUCUUGGAUGAAGAAGUACUUACUGAUCCGAAGAUCCAGGCGCUGCUUCUUACUGUUCUAGUAAGGAUUUCCCCUUUUUGAGUCCCCCACCCUCAAAUUUUUAUUCCAGUCUACUUUUAGGAGGCCCUUAAAUAUUAAAAACAUGAAUAGGAUACAGUCUUCUACUUCUCACCCAAACAGAUAACAAUUCAGCCACAAAGUAAAAAUGUUGUGUGUUUACUUUUUUGCAUCUUGGCAGGCUACACUGGUAAAAUAUACCACAGAUGAGUUUGAUCAACGAAUUCUUUAUGAAUACUUAGCAGAGGCCAGUGUUGUGUUUCCCAAAGUCUUUCCUGUUGUGUAAGUAUCUCCUUUUGAUUUUAAUUCACCUUCGUGCCUGUCUUUAAGUUAAAUGCUUACCCAGUAAUGUGCACUGGUUGCAAAGAGGGCAAAAUGAGAUAUUGUGAUAGUGAUUUUAGCUUUGAGACAGUAGGUUUAAUGAGGGUUAAGAUUAGUUUUGACCUAUUAGAUCUAUUAGAAAGUUUAUAAGGAAAGACUUUUAAAAAAUCUGGUUGAUUUAUUUAAGUGGUUUAUUUUGAUGAUCAUUGCUCAUUUUCCUCACUUAGAAGCAAACUAUUAGACUGCUGUAUCUAAAUCAGCAUAUCUGUUUUGGUUUACUUUUUAGUAGAGCUUUUGUAUUUAUCCACAGCUGAGUGAAAACAAAAUUGACCUUCUGUUUAGGAGGUGAAUUUUUUAUUCUCUCUUAAGAACUAAAAAAUAUUAACCUCAAAGUGUUCAAAUUUAAAUAGUUCAAAUAAAUUCUUUUCCUGAUCUAGGCCUUCUAUAUCAUGUCAUUAUUUUCUUUUUUUAAUCUCAUGUUAGAAUUUUAGAGAGAUAGAACUCAGUUAUUUUUAUUAAUGGAGUGUAGCCGGGUUAGAAAUAAUUUUUUUCCUAAGUUUCAGUUGGAUCCUGUAUUUCAAUCCCUCUAAACUAUUUUGCUUUCCCUAUUUGAUCUGACUCAGCAUUUUAAAAGCACUGAUUAACAUUAAAUUUAAUUUUUUUCUUUUUGUUUUGCACAGAUCCUAAAUUUAGUUUUAACUUCCUAAGUGCAUGUCAGUAUACAACAGAUGGAAAUAGUACUAAAACAUGCUAAGUAGCAGACAGAGCCAACCUUGUCUUAAGCAAACAUUUACCGUAUAUGGUUACACAUGGUUAUAUGACACUACCAGUUGUUUGUUUUCACAAUUUCUUCCCUGGUGACUAAAAACAAAAGACAAACAAAAACAGACACACACACAUGUUCAUUGUAGAAAAUUUGGAAAACGAAGAAAUGCCCCAGAAAGUAAAAAGCACUCAUCUCCCUUUAAUUUUGGCACAUUAUUCUGGGGAAUGUAUAUUAUGUUUUCCACUACAUAUUUUCAUUUAAUUUUCCUCUAAAAUGUUCCUCUGUUGACUUUUUUUUUUUUUUUUUAGGCAUAAUUUGUUGGACUCUAAGAUCAACACCCUGUUAUCAUUGUGCCAAGAUCCAAAUUUGUUAAAUCCAAUCCAUGGAAUUGUGCAGAGUGUGGUGUACCAUGAAGAAUCCCCACCACAAUACCAAACAUCUUACCUGCAAAGUAAAUAAAUGUAUCUGGAGAAGGAUGGUUGAUGAACUUGCUAACAUGCGCGCUGUUGUAGAAUGCACUGACUACAGAAUUCUUUAUAAGGGAUAGACUUGUUCAUACUUUUAUUUCCAUAUUCCAUUUUUUUACUCUCUCAACUGUAUGUCCAAUGUAACUGGUUGACAACUUUUUAUGCUGAGUAUAUUUUAAGUAGGUUUUAGUUGCUUUGACACUCAUUCUAAAAACAUGUUUUCAACAUGUACAUAGGGUUUAUAUAUCAUCAGCUAUAUGACUUAUUUAAUAUCUGUUACAAUUAAAAGAUAUCUUGCUUGUUAUAAGAGUAACAUUUGAUUUGUUGCAGGUUUUGGUUUUAAUGGCUUGUGGCGGUUUGCAGGACCGUUUUCCAAGGUAAGAAAAUAUAUUUUUCUCUAACUUUUGGCAAAAUGAAGGUUUCUGUUCAAAUUAGUAUGCCUGCUUUAAGAACACACAAUAUGCUGAAAACCAGAAAAAUAAUUCACAAUAAACACAUGUUACUUUUAUAAAAAGUUUCUCAUCACAAGGUUUUUUCCAGGAGGCAGCAUGGUGUUGGGGUGUGUGUAUUCACUUUUACAAACAAAGUCAACUUAUGAUCAAUUUUUCAGAAGAGUAUGAUAAACCUCUGUGAUACUUUUCUGCCACAGUCCCUUGUGUAUUUGAUAAUCUUAAUGCACACAGUUAGAUAUCUUAUGACUAGCAAGGAGCAUUACCAUGGUUAAAAUCUAUUUCAUGAAAACAUUUUUAUUUCCAGCCUAUUAGAUUAGAUUAAUUUCUCUCUGGAUUUGUCCUCAUUUGCUCUUAUUCAGUUUUUUUGUUUGUUUGUUUGUUUUGUGAGACGGAGUCUCACUCUGUCUCCAGGCUGGAGUGCAGUGGCGCAAUCUUGGCUCACUGCAACCUCUGCCUCCCAGGUUCAAGCGAUUCUCCUGCCUCAGUCUCCCGAGUAGCUGAGACUACAGGCAUGCAGCACCGCGCCCAGCUAAUUUUUGUAUUUUUAGUAGAAACAGGGUUUCACCAUGUUGGCCAGGAUGGUCUUGAUCUCUUGACCUCGUGAUCUGCCCACCUCGGCCUCCCAAAGUGCUGGGAUUACAGGCAUGAGCCACCGCACCUGGCCUCAGUUUGUUUUUUGAUUGGCAUUAGUUUAUGUAGUGCUACAUAAGAUGUAUAUAAUCAUUUUCUCUGUAUGUGGGCUCUCUCCAAAUUGAUCAAAGUUCCUUGAAGACAGGGUUUCUGUUUCUUCCUUAAACAGUUCCUGGUGCAGUGUUUUAGAUACAGGGGGUGCUAAAUCAAUAUGAAUUAUAUAAACCUUGUUCCAGUUUUUAAGAAUUGGGUAUUUUAUUUAUUUCCUUUCACUAUUACUUGAAUAUCUGUCGACAUGCAAAGGUUGUCACUUAAAAAAUGGGCCUAAAGUUACAGAAAUAAGUAUAUCAUACAGAAGUUUUUGCAUUUGGAUUGCCAGUAACCCUCUGAGCCCUUUACAGUGUCUAGUGAGUGGAAUCUAAAUGGCAGCUGGAAUGAUGAUGCUCUGCUCAUUUUCUCUGUUUUGGAAAAUUGGCUAGACAUCAUUCCUGGUGAUUGUAUUGUCUCAGUAUUACAUUCAGUCUGUCUUGUGCAUGGCUUUCAGAAAAUGCAGGUUCAUCUGGAAGCUUUAAGCUGAAUAGAACUCCCUGUUGUAAGUCCUAUGGUAGUCUAUAAAUAUUACUCCACUCCCUUUUUUUAAUGAUAAGUAAUACAAAGGAAGAAAAAUAGUAAAUUAAGUCCAAACAAAAUUAAUAUUUUUGGCUUCAGAUGGGGAUUUACUUAAAAAAAAGGAACUAAAAUAAUUUCCUAUUUUCCAUUACAGCAAACACAAAUUCCAGACUAUGCUGAGCUUAUUGUUAAGUUUCUUGAUGCCUUGAUUGACACGUACCUGCCUGGAAUUGAUGAAGAAACCAGUGAGGAAUCCCUCCUGACACCCACAUCUCCUUACCCUCCUGCACUGCAGAGCCAGCUUAGUAUCACUGCCAACCUUAACCUUUCUAAUUCCAUGACCUCACUUGCAACUUCCCAGCAUUCCCCAGGUCAGUAAAUGUGAUCUUUAUAUGACUUUGAGCAACAAUAUAAGACACCAACAUUAGGAAUUCCCUUGUGAUCAGUUUAUAGCAAAUUUUGCUCCUUUUUCUUAUGAGAUUCACCUUACAUUUCUUCUUUACCUUGUAACUGACUUGACUUUUCUUAUUCUAUGAAGCUUUCUACUUUCAAACAAGUUGUACAUAAGACAGUAAAAUGUUAAAAUGUCCACAUGAUAUUCCAAGGUUGACAAGUUUGUAGAGUUUGGGCAGGAAGAGGAACUUAAAACACAUUAUUCUGUAAGUGAACAGAACUAUAAUUUAUUUACUAGAUAUACUAACAUUGCCCUAAGGGCCUCUUUCUCUGUCUCUGAUACAGCAUACUAUAUCAAAAAAACAAGAAGAAGAAACACAAAAUCUAUUAGGUACCUCACUUUCCUGCUGCCAGCAAUAACUCAACCAUCCAUAGACCAUCCUGAAAAUCUGGAAGUAAAUAAAUAAUCAAACAAAAAAUUCAUCUCAAGAAAAUAACAUCUUAAAGCCCAUAAGCAUAUAUAUACCAAUUCAUAAUGCAACUUAGAUUUGAAUACACUGAGAAAUACUAAUAGCUAAUAGCUCUGGUGGGACUGAGAUAAACAAGGUGGGAGAAAUGGCAAACCUACAGAACUCUGGACUUAUUCAGUGUCAUAGUGAAUGGUUUCAUACAACUCUGGUUGACCCAGGAGGUGCUAUUCAUUAUAGAACUUAAACUAUUGUGUGUGUUAUUAUGACAGUGAGUAAUGAAGGAAAGCUUUUGUUAUGGUUGUGUUUUCUAUUUAGAAAGAUAUUCUCCUAAAAUGGUUAAAAAUAAAAGAAACUUUAGUUGUUUAAAGUUCCAUUAUCUGAAAA
rnacentral:sRNA from 1 species